AUACGGAGGGUGCAAGCGUUGUUCGGAAUUACUGGGCGUAAAGCGCGCGUAGGCGGUCUGUUAUGUCAGAUGUGAAAGUCCUCGGCUCAACCGGGGAAGUGCAUUUGAAACUGGCAGACUUGAGUACUGGAGGGGGUGGUGGAAUUCCCGGUGUAGAGGGGAAAUUCGUAGAUAUCGGGAGGAAUACCGGUGGCGAAGGCGACCACCUGGCCAGAUACUGACGCUGAGGUGCGAAAGCGUGGGGAGCAAACAGGAGUAGAUACCCCAGUAGUCC
rnacentral:rRNA from 1 species